CAAAGAGGAGAUAACAUCUUGUCAAAUGCAAAACGUUAAGGAAGAGAAAUUGCAGACAGAUUCCAAUGAAGGUGCAUCUGAAGAUGAUGCAUCCAAAAAUGAGUGUCCAACACAAGAAAUCAAAAAUGCAACUGUCCAUACUGAAGAGGUUAAGGAUUACCCCAGGGUAAACUUCAUGUCUUUGACGGUAAAUGGCCUGAGGGUGCUGUUCGCUAAAACCGUGACGAUCAACAUGAUGAUGACGAUCAAGGCCAUGGUGUUCUAGGGAUGUGUUGGAACAAAGGGUUCGUGUUUUUACAGAAGAACAGUGGGAUGGAUGGUAGCCUCACUGAAUGGACCAGAUUUAUCCUUUUAUACUACUUCAGAGCUUUGCUGUAUUACUGUAUUUUUGUGCAGUUAACGAAUGAG